AGUCUUUAUGACCUGUGUCUUGUGCCCACCUCCUGUCUCAUCCUGUGACUUAGAAUGCCUUAACUGUCUGGGAAAGUAGGUCUUACCCUCACUUUACCCAGCCCCCUAUUCAAGAUGGAGUUGCUGUGGUUCACAUGCCUCUUGACAGGACCCAGGUACCUCAUACAGGGGUUGUUAACCUUGGCUCCAUGGGGUUACAGGUGGGGUGGCUGACACCCCUCAAAUCAUAUGCAAAAUUCCGUGUAUACAUAUAUUCUUCUGGGGAGACAAUCAUGUUUUAGCAGAUUCUCACUGUACCGCUGAGUGUCACCCAGCAUGAAAAUGAACCAGCCUCUUGAACCUUCUUUUUUGACUUCAGGCCCUUCUGGUAGUUUCACAGCCAUAGAGAGUGGAAAGAGGAAAUGAAAGGAGCGAAGAUCCAUCGACUCCACAACUUCUAAGAAGCUUUAAAUUGUUCACUUGGUGGACACAUCUCUGAGCUUGCUCCCACGACAUCCUGAGGGAGGGGAGGCAGCCGGGCUGCCCUUCUCCUCCCAGUUCCCCAGCGUGACUAAGCGUGUAACGCACAUGACUCCCUCAUCUCCACCCCUGCUGUGGUUAACACCCCCUGCCUCUCGGGCCCUCAACACCCUGGUACAAAACUAGCAAAGAGCAAAGAAAAUUCAGGGUGCUGUGGCAGCUCCAGGACUACUUGGCAACCCAUCACCAGGAUGGGAGCCCAGCUGGGCAACGGGAGCAGAGGAGAGAUGGGAGGAAUGUCAAAAAAGCACUUGAAGGCAAAUGCCAUCGACUCAAAUUUGAAUUUGUAACCACCUAGACCAGUGGUUCGCAACUCAGGCUGUACAAUAGAAUCACUCAGGGAGCCUGGAAAAUAAUUCUGCUGCCCAGACCACUCCUUCAAAGAGUCUGGUGCCAUUGGUCUAGGUUAGGGCCCGGACAUCAAGAUGUUAAAGCUUCCCAGGUGAUUCUACUGUGCCGCCAGAGCUGAGCCCACUAGCUGGGCUGCAUUUUAAUCUCAUCUCCUGAAUACCAUGCCUUCCAGUGAUCAUGGGUUACUAAAAAAACAGCUGCCUGGAGUAGCCACUGUCUGUAAAGCCACUCCUAUAAAGGAUCAGUUUCCCAGCCCUUGAUGUGUAAAUGGACACUUGACCAUAGGGGAUUCUUAUAUUUUCAUUAACGUGGGGGAUUCUUAUAUUUUCAUUAAAGUGGGUCCCCUCAGAGUCUAGCUUGAUUUGUCGGUUUUCUGGUCACAGUCCACUGUAAUAUCUCAUUUGUCCACAUCUCUUCCAUUUUUAUAUCCAUAACCCAGGGAAGGGCCUGGUGAUACAAAGUUAAUACUGAAUGUUUAUCAAAUGAAUUAAUAAUUAUUACAGAUCUCAACAGGGGCCUCCAGGCCUUAAAAUCUAAAUCAGAUUGGCUCAAACUAUCCUUCUCCAUUCCCAAGCCUAUGGUUUGUGGCAGUCCCAAGGCCCACUGAAGACUUCACACAGUUCUCCCAAGUCAGGUUCUCACAGGGACCUCCACUUCUGUCCAUUUCACUCUGACGUUCAGCCCCUGCCUCAGUUUCUACAAAGAAAACUCACUCUCAAUAAACAUUCCUAGCCAGGUGCAGUCGCUUGCACCUGUAAUCCCAACUACUAGGGAGGUUGAGGCAGGAGGACUGCUUGAGCCCAGGAGUUUGAGACCAGCUUGGGCAACCUAGGGAUACCGUGUCCCUUGAAAAAAUAACCAUUCCUGAGUUUUGCUGGGGACUUGGGGGUCACAGGGAUGGUCCCUCUGCUGUCAGGGCCUCUCAGUUGGCCUUCACCCCAUGCCAGACCCUCCACCAACCUGUCUUCUCCAGCACCAGCCACCCAGUAAGCUCAACACCCAUCCCUUUAGAUUCUCUAAACCUCAUUUGCUUUCUUUAGCCAUAAUCCCAUAAUCUCUUCCUAGAAUGAAAUAUGGUUUCAGCUCUUAAUAGGAUGGCCAAAACCAGUUUGCUGAGGACUGAGGAGUUUCCUGAAACACUGAUCAUUCAUUGCUAAAACCAGGACAGUCCCGGGCAAACCAGGACCAUUGGUCACCUUACUGAAAGGGAAACUGAGGUCCAGGGACAACCAGAAGUGACUGAGCCUGCACGUGCACCCAGUUCUGACUUGGAAGCCCACGCUCCAUUCACCAGCAGCCCCGCCACACUGAGGACUGAGCUAGUCCCAGCUAGCUGCCCCGCCCCUUUUUAAUUUUAACUUUGUUUGAGGAAAAUCUUUCAAUGUGUCUCACACGUCCCUGCCUUCUUCCAAGUGAGCUGAAUGCAGAUCAACUUCCUCUGCAUGACUCAACAGCAGCAUUUUGAACAUCAGUGACAGUCAUUUUCCAGAGUGUCUGCACUGGGCCUCCUCCAGGGGCAGCCUGAGCUGUGGCCUUGGACACCACCUCCAGUUCUCUUCCUCCAGCUGCCUUUCCCAGCUCCAUCUGAGAAGUCGAGGCCAGGACAACCCAGCAGUUAGCCCAGUGAGUAAGACCCAGGAGGCCUCAUGUGUAGUCUGGGGGCUUCUGGACUGCAGCCCAGGGGAGCACCCACAGCUGGGAGGCCCCUCGGCCCUGACCUUGGCCCUGCUUCCUUAGAGUCAGCCUGGUGGCUGAGGCUGCUGGAAAUGGACCCUGUGAUGCAAGGCACUACAACUGACUUUCUUGUUAAUAUGAUAGUUCUUCCCCACCACCCCUCCUCCUCCAAACCAUCCAAACUUCUAGUUCCUUCUUUGUGGCUGGCAUUACUGAGAUUUCUGGUAUUAUUGGUGCACAGAGGAUGUGUGGAGUGCGGUAAGAACAUAGGCUGCCUAGGUCUGGCCCAGCAAUGCUGCCAGCUGAUGACCUUCGGUAACGUGUCCAAGCUCUCUAUGCUUUGAUUGCCUCAUUUGUCAAACUGGAUUGAUGAUAACAUACUUAUUUUAGGGAUAUUGAGCUAUUGUUGAAUUAGAUACAGUCAUGUGCCACAUAAGGAUGUUUUGGUCAAGGGCAGACCACAUAUACAAAGGUAGUUCCAUAGAUUAAAAUACCCUAUUUUUUCUGUCCUUUUUCUAUGUUUAGAUACACAAAUACUUGCCAUUGUCUUACAGUUGCCUACAGUAUUCAGUCCAGUAACAUACUGUCCAGGUUUGUAGCCUAGAAGGAGUAGGCUAUCCCAUAGAGCCGUGGUGUGUAGUAGGCUUUACUAUCCAGGGUUGUGUAGGUGCACUCUAUGAUGUUCACACAAUGAUGAAAUCACCUAAGGAUGCAUUUCUCAGAAUGUAUAUCCAUCAUCAAACAACACAUGACUGCAUAUACUUUCAAAAUAGUGGCUGGCACACCGAAACUCUAUUUAAAUGUUAGCCAGGAUUCCAAAAUCGAAUCCGUAAAUGAUUCUGGAGUGUCUACUAGUAACUCCAGCCACCAUUUACUCAAACAGCAUGUACCAGUCAUUGUGCUUUGCACGGGUCACGUCAUUUAAGGCUUGGAGGAGCUAGGCACACCCCCCUUAGUUAGUGGGGUGCUCGUCUCCCAGGCCAAGCUGGCCUGUCCAGCGGUACCCCCUCUGCCUCCCUUGUGGGGCAGGCUCUGAGCUGGACAUUCAGCAAGGAGGCUUAGCCUCCCCCAUCCUCUGACCAUAGCCCCUGCCCUGCCACCUCUCCCCUGCCUGACUCAUUUCUCCUUUCCUCAGAUGCUUCUUACCGAAAAAACAGCCUCCUGUUGCCCUCCUCUCCUGGGUCCCCGGGCUACUCCAAGCUCUGCUCUUGCCCAGCUCCCCUUGUCAAUCAAAACAGAUUCAGCCUUCACAGGAAGCAAUUUGGCAUCUGGUAUCAAGAGGUUUAAAAUCCUCUUUCCUAAAAAUGCCACUCCUAGGACCCUCUCCUAAAGAAGUAAUAAAAGAUGCAAAGAAUGAUGAACAAAGGUGAUCUUCACAUUCAUAAGAUACAAAACGUUAAAGGAUCUAAGUGAGCAAUAAUUGGAGAAUGAUUAGAUAAAUGAUGCUGUACCCACGUACUGAAGGAUUAUACCACAAACGUGAACAGCAGAAGAAAUGUUUGUUUCAUGCAUUUUCAUCAUCCUUGGAUGGUAGCGUCUUUUUAAAAAUCUUUGCUUAAUGGAAACACAAAAGAAGGGCAUCUAGUUUCUACUUUAUUUUUAUUUCUUUGACCCCAGUAAAGAUGGACUUUUGAAGACUUGUCCAUUUUUAUUCCUUAUAAACUGCCUAUUUAUGCCCUCUUCAAUUUUCUGUUAAUUUCAUUUUUCUUAUUUAUUGGUUUUAUGUAUUCAGUUUAUUGACCACUUAUAUGUCAUAUUUAUUGCAAAAAUUUCCCUUAGAAUGUAGUUUCCUUUUUUAUUGUAUUACUGAUUUAUUUUUAUACUAUAGAUGUUUAAAAUUUUAAAUGUCCAAAGCUA
rnacentral:lncRNA from 1 species